rnacentral:rRNA from 1 species
CCUACGGGUGGCAGCAGUGGGGAAUAUUGGGCAAUGGAGGAAACUCUGACCCAGCAACGCCGCGUGAAUGAUGAAGGUCUUCGGCUUGUAAAGUUCUUUUCUACGGGAAGAAGAAAGUGACGGUACCUUAGGAAUAAGCCUCGGCUAACUACGGGCCAACAGCCGCGGGAAUUCGUUGGAGGCGGGCGUUAGCCGGAAUGACUGGGCGUAAAGGGUGCGUAGGUGGUUCGGCAAGUUAGUAGCGAAACUCCAGGGCUCCACCUUGGCACUAGUACUAAAACUGGUGGACUUGAGUGCACGAGGGGCAAGCGGAAUGCCUAGUGUAGCGGUGGAAUGCGUAGAUAUUAGGAGGAACACCGGUGGCGAAGGCGGGAUACUGGCGUGUAACUGACGCUGAGGCACGAAAGCGUGGGGAGCGAACAGGAUUAGAUACCCGGGUAGUC